UUCUUACUGCAGGAAGUUACCCAGCUCCUGACUGCAAAGCCUAGCAUCGGUGAACUAAAGUGCUCACAGGAAGAUGGAGGAGAACUGCAGACCAGGUUACUGGAGGAGCAGAGGAUGCAGUUCCAGAAGCCCUGUAAUGUCUUCAGACCUUUGAAGGCUGUUUUGUAGAAGAUGGCUUGUUCUUCCUUAAUUUUCAAGGACUCAUAGAGAAAUGACAGACCCUUCCUACUGCAUUUAAUUGGAGAGGAGCACAGAGACCUGAGAUUAUAAUGAUGACGUCUUAAAUGUCAAGUGCUUCAAAAGUCUGCUGUUGCACUCACUGUCACCCUAAACAGCUCUGGAAACCAAAACCCUGCAGCCACCUAAAGCAUGCCCUGAGUCUCUCAGCCAGGUUUCAUCUGGGAAAUCUGAGUGACAGUGACGUGCAGGCAGCUGGAAGACGCACAGUAAACCGAGGAGCCUGUGAUGAGCUCAGAGGAGGUGAGUUGAUGAUCUGCUAUUUAUAGCCCCACUAAGAGGCUCUGGCCGCCAGCUCCAUGUGAGUCUGGGUGGAAAUGAUGCCUUCGCAGAGCUGAGAGCACAAAAUGAAGUUGGUGAUUCAUGGGCAGCAGCCACUUGAAAAUAUGAACACUCCUGCGUCCCCAGCCCCGCCGGCCUUUCACACCCAUUUGGAGGCGUGUUGAGCAGAGCUGCUAGCCUGCUGCAUCCUAGUCUGCAUGUGUUUGGGCAGGAUGUGAGGACAGGCCGGUUCUACCCUGACAAGGAGCCUGCAAAGGGCAGCAGCACGCCUGGGAGCACUCCAAGAACGUCUGCCCACCCCCCGAGAGGCCUCGGCUGGAACCCAGGGCAGGGCUGAGUAAGAGGUAAGCCCCGAGAGGACCUGCGGUCACAGAGAAAGGACACUUCCUGCUCCUGCCCUCUGUCUCCAGGGGCGACGCUGGCAACAGAGCAGCUUUCUGAUGACGCUUGUUCUGCUGAACAUACAAAAAUUUACAAUGAGGAAACCCUUGCAGCUUGACAUUUCCCCCCGCACAAUUCCACAGCCCAGCACCUGUCACCUGAAAUAGCUAUUGUUUAUUUUCCUCAGUAACAUCUUGGCUUCCAGGCCAAAGUCUACUUGGAGGCCCAAACUCAACUCACCCUAUGUGAGGAAUGCCCUGGAGGUCUCUCAGUUUCCCACAACCAAACUGGAUUUAAAGGGCCAAACCAGGAUAAGGAGGCCAGCUGAGCUCUGAAGCCAGAUUGUCUGGGUUCAGAUUCUUUCUCUACACUUGCAGCCACGUGGCUUCAGUCAAAUUGCCCUCUGAGACUCAGUUUUUCUCAUUGGUAAAAUGAGGAUAAUUACAGAACCUACCUCACUGGGUUGCGGUGAAGGGUGACAUUUGAGUAGUGGUCAGCCCAGCAUCCAGCACAUGGACAGACUUGAUACUGGACACUGCUGCUGCUGCUUUUGCUGUUGAAGUUGUUUUCACUCCUGGGUUUUGGUCCCUGUACUGAUAGCACUCCUUUGCACACAGUCUAUGGCACUGAGGUUCCUUGUGGAGGUGGUGCCCUGAGGCUUCAAUAGAGACCCUCUGCCCAUCACAAACAAACCCCAUAUCAGGCUGCCAAGCAUAGUGGACUUCACCCCGGGGGCAUCUCAGCCCCAUGCUUGACCGGCCCCUGCCUUUGCCUAGGAACCAAGUGCCUUUCCCUUGGGGCUGGGCUUUGCCCGGGUUGACUACCCUGAUGCUUCUGCUCCUCUAUGUCCUGGGGUGGUCUUGGGGGUAUUAACUGUCACCAUCCAGUGGAGGGUUUCACCGAGGGUCCCAGGUGCUAACAUGAGGUCUGUGGCCAGCAGGCAGCCUGGAUGACUGGCCGGAUAGGCAGCAGGGAGGGCCUGGAUGACUGGCCGGAUAGGCCCACCUCACCUAUGGGCUGCACUUGCAGCACAAACUGCUGAUUCAUGGAGACUCAUGAGGCCUUGGCUAUCUGUACAUUCUCCAUCUCCAGCUGUCGGCCAAAAUAUAAUUGUAGUUGUCACUUUGGCAGAGAGAUACUAUGAUGUGUCCUAUCUCCAAGGCAGUGAGCUUUUGGAAGAUAGGAGGGAUCUGCAGCUGCUCCUGUGGAGAGAACCAUUCUGGAAAGUGGUCUGUGUGAAGUGCACCCAGGUGCAGUCCCAGGAGUGGUGUGAGCAGCAGGGUGAGGCCCUAUAUUAGAAUGGGCACUGGUGUUGCCUGUGUCUGCAUCUACAGUAAUGCAAUUCUGAUGACAUCAAUGAAUAACAGAGAGGCUGCCAUUGAAAUGAGGCAUUGUUGGCAGCUAUGCGGACUUGGAAAACAGCCACCAGGCUUAUGCACAAGUCAGAAUCCAUCGUGUGUGGGGUAAAUGAGUGGUUAGACCAUGGGGUACAUGGUGUAAGGGAGAUGAUGCCAGAGACAUAGCUAGGACCAGACUGAGAAGCAAGGGACUCGAAGACCAGGCCAUGCAGCUUGGACUUGAUCCUGGACAUAGGGAAAGUGAUGUGAUUAGAGGAUGUGGGGGUUCUGGGCUCAAGCAUCCUCGAAGGGUCGCACUAAGGGCAAGGCUCCCCCUCCCCACGGCAGUUGGCAAGCAGCGGCUUGCUGUUUGAGAAGGUGUUUACUCCUCUGGAGCAUGAGUCCCACACUCAGAAGGUGCUGAGACUCUGCUCGUAGGGUAAGCAUAUGAAGGGCCGGUCCCAGCCAGGACAGCUGGGAGUGCGCAGUCAGCAAGGCAAAGCACCAGGCUUAUGUCUUCCCUCUUCUUCCAUCCUUCUUGGCCAGGAGUUUAUUAUUGAAGCACCUGUGUGCAGAUGUGCUAAAUGUAGAUGACUGCACCACUCAGGUCAAAGGUCAGGGAGGCUCCUGGGACUGAGAGAUGACCCCGCUGCCUGUGGAUGUGGCCUCCCUCCCCACUAAGGAAACAGCAGAGGCAAACAUCCAAGCUUGCCUGAUGGAGGAAUUCCUAGAAGAAAGGUUCUAUCCUUAUGUACUUAAAUACUGAUUUAGAGGUUGGUUAAUGGAGACAGAAGAAUACUAAGUGUUGGGAGCCGUUACCAGUGGAGGACCCACCCAUGAGCACGGAAGCCAGAGCAUAUCUGGACCAUCAUGUAAGUCCGGAGGAAGACACGAUUCAGUUGACAAAAAUUUGUGUACCCUCCUCAGAAGUGCAUUGUUGUGCAAGAAAUGGUUUGGCAGUGACUCUCCCCUUUCAGCUGCAAGCCAUCAAGGGCUGAAUGCCUCUCCAGUUGCCAGAGGAGGAGUGGCUUGUAGAGCGGAUGUUCCCAGUCUGGCAGAAUCUUCUGUCAAGUGUUCCCUGAGUUGGGCUGCCAGGGGGCAGGUGUUGAACAGUGAGGAAGUCCUCUCACCUGAGCAGCUUCUGAUGCAAGAGGGGUGUCGUGAGUGCCUGGAAUCCUAUGCCUGUGGGUGGAGCGUGAACUUAGCCUCUUCCCUGAGGGUAGGCAGCAUGUCAUAACCACUUCUGGCUGCCCAUGGCUGGUUUGGGGCAAUAUGCCAAGAUGUAGUUUUGCCUAUUUGGUUUGCUUUUUCCUUUAAAAUGUACAAAAGUUAAUAACAUGUAAUGGGUUUUUAAAAAAUUAUAAAAUAUGAGAUACAAUCAGAAAAGUCCAAACAGACCGGGUGAGGUGGCUCACACCUGUAAUCCCAGCACUUUGGGAGGCCGAGGGAGUGGAUCACCUGAGGUCAGGAGUUUUAGACCAGCCUGGCAAACAUGGUGAAGCCCCAUCUCUACUAAAAAUACAAAAAUUAGCUGGGCGUGGUGGUGUGCUUUGCCUGUAGUCCCAGCUACUCAGGAGGCUGAGGCAGGAGAAUUGCUUGAACCUGGGAGGCUAAGGUUGCAGUGAGCCAAGACUGUGCCACUGCACUGCACUCCAGCCUGGGUGAUAGAGCAAGACUCUAUCUCAAAAAAAAAAAAAAAGAAAAAAAAGAAAGAAAAGAAAAGUCCAAACAACUAUACAUACAGCUUAACAAAUAAUUAUAACAUGAAUGCACUCCAGACUGGGUGACAA
rnacentral:lncRNA from 1 species